AGUGAACGCUGGCGGUAGGCCUAACACAUGCAAGUCGAACGGCAGCACAGUAAGAGCUUGCUCUUACGGGUGGCGAGUGGCGGACGGGUGAGGAAUACAUCGGAAUCUACUUUUUCGUGGGGGAUAACGUAGGGAAACUUACGCUAAUACCGCAUACGACCUACGGGUGAAAGCAGGGGAUCUUCGGACCUUGCGCGAUUGAAUGAGCCGAUGUCGGAUUAGCUAGUUGGCGGGGUAAAGGCCCACCAAGGCGACGAUCCGUAGCUGGUCUGAGAGGAUGGUAGGCGGCAUGGGAGCGGGGACGAGGACAGGGGGCCUAGGGGAGGGAGGAGUAGGGAAUCGGAGGCACUGGGGGGAAGCAUGAAGGAGCAAGACGGAGUGAGAGGCGAAAGUGUUGGGAGCGGAAAGAUCUGUUAUUAGGGAAGAAAAGAGGGGGAAGUAAACGAGCACAUAUUGACGGUAACUAGUAAGAAAGCAACGGCUAACUACGUG
rnacentral:rRNA from 1 species